rnacentral:lncRNA from 1 species
GUAACAAUCAUCUUAUUGUUUUCAAUAUUGACUUCCAAACAUAUAGAAUUCGUAUUCUAGUCCCAGGUAUCAAACUGGCAGUAGAACCUUUCUUCUCUAGCUUAGGAGUUUGCCACUCUUAAACGACAACCUGCAGACAUAUAAUGAGGUGCCUAAAGGUGGUUAGAAGAGAAUUGUUACAUUUUUGCAUACAGGGAUAGGAUGUAGAACCUUUGUGCUGAGUAUAUCUCAUGGAGCUUGUGCCAGCAAAAAUUUCUACAUCGUUAGUUGCACCAGCAAGCAUGGCACAGUGGAUGACAUCUGCAGACUUCUAUUUUCCUUGGAGAAAAACAAAAAGAAC